ensembl:snoRNA SNORA70 Small nucleolar RNA SNORA70
CUCCAAGAAUUUAUAAAUAAGAUAUUUGUAUUUAUCUCCUGGUGUGCAAUGGUUGCAAACAGCAGCCUCCUUGGUAGUGUAUGCAGCCUGUUGCUUGUAUGGGUUGCUCUAAGGGACCUUGGAGACAUUC